rnacentral:rRNA from 1 species
GAUGAACGCUGGCAGUGUGCCUUAGACAUGCAAGUCGAACGGAAAACAAUGUAGCAAUACGUUGUUUUUAGUGGCAGACGGGUGAGUAACACGUAGGUGAUCUGCCCCAAAGUAGGGCAUAACGUUGGGAAACCAUCGCUAAUUCUCUAUGUGAUCCCACCUCUUGUGGUGUGAUUAAAGAUUUAUCGCUUUGGGAUGAGCCUGCGGCACAUCAGCUAGUUGGUAGGGUAAUGGCCUACCAAGGCGACGACGUGUAGCCGACCUGAGAGGGUGACCGGCCACAGGGGUACUGAGACACGGACCCCACUCCGUACGGGAGGCAGCAGUUAGGAAUCUUCCCCAAUGGGCGCAAGCCUGAGGGAGCGACACUGCAUGAAGGAUGAA